UACAGAGGGUGCAAGCGUUGUUCGGAAUUAUUGGGCGUAAAGCGCGUGUAGGCGGCCAAGCAAGUCGGGUGUGAAAGCCCUCAGCUUAACUGAGGAAGUGCGCCCGAAACUACGUGGCUUGAGUACCGGAGAGGGUGGCGGAACUCCCGGUGUAGAGGUGAAAUUCGUAGAUAUCGGGAAGAACAUCGGUGGCGAAAGCGCUCUACUGGACCACAACUGACACUCAGGGACGAAAGCUAGGGGAGCGAAUGGG
rnacentral:rRNA from 1 species